rnacentral:rRNA from 1 species
AGCGAACGCUGGCGGCAGGCCUAAUACAUGCAAGUCGAGCGGUCCCUUCGGGGGCAGCGGCGGACGGGUGAGUAACGCGUGGGAACGUGCCCUUUGGUACGGAACAACUGAGGGAAACUUCAGCUAAUACCGUAUGUGCCCUUCGGGGGAAAGAUUUAUCGCCAUUGGAGCGGCCCGCGUUGGAUUAGGUAGUUGGUGAGGUAAAGGCUCACCAAGCCUACGAUCCAUAGCUGGUCUGAGAGGAUGAUCAGCCACACUGGGACUGAGACACGGCCCAGACUCCUACGGGAGGCAGCAGUAGGGAAUCUUGCGCAAUGGGCGAAAGCCUGACGCAGCCAUGCCGCGUGAAUGAUGAAGGUCUUAGGAUUGUAAAAUUCUUUCACCGGGGACGAUAAUGACGGUACCCGGAGAAGAAGCCCCGGCUAACUUCGUG